rnacentral:rRNA from 1 species
CCUACGGGCGGCAGCAGUGGGGAAUAUUGGGCAAUGGGCGCAAGCCUGACCCAGCGACGCCGCGUGAGGGAAGACGGUCUUCGGAUUGUAAAGCUCUUUCAGCAGGGAAGACAAAAGGACGGUACCUGCAGAAGAAGCCACGGCUAACCACGUGCCAGCAGCCGGGGUAAUACGUAGGUGGCAAGCGUUAUCCGGAAUUACUGGGUGAAAGGGGUGCGCAGGCGGAAUGUCAAGUCAGCGGUAAAAUUUCGGGGCUCAACCCCGUCGUGCCGUUGAAACUGGCGUUCUUGAGUGAGCGAGAGGGAUGCGGAAUUCGUGGUGUAGCGGUGAAAUGCGUAGAUAUCACGCAGAACACCGAUUGCGAAGGCGGCAUCCCGGCGCUCAACUGACGCUCAUGCACGAAAGCGUGGGUAUCGAACAGGAUUAGAUACCCCUGUAGUC